rnacentral:rRNA from 1 species
UAAGCCAUGCAUGCCUUCGAAUAAGAGGAAGCAAUUCUCUCUGAAUCUGCGAACGGCUCCGCAAACCAGUUGUAAACUAUAGCAAGCAAGCCCGGGGGUUCCCUUCACGGGGGGUUCCCGGGCAACAUGGAUAACCCUGGUAAUUCUGAGGCUAAUACAAGAACGUACUCCCUGGGCAACUGGCCUUGGCUGGACGCCUGGGGGUCGUGCGAUACCUCGCGAGACUGCCAGGACUGGGCGCAUGACCGGACCGCGCUAAACACGGAUUGCCCCUUAAGCCUUCACGGGUGGCGGGGGUGGCUCGAGCGGCUCUUGCUGUGUGCUUCUGACCUAUCAACUUGAUGGCAGCGUAACGGACAUGCUAUGGUGGCGACGGGUACAGAGGAUUAGGGUUCGAUCCUGGAGAGUGGGCCUGAGAGAUUGCUCAUACUUCUAAGGAAGGCAGCAGGCGCGCAACGUUCCCCUUGGGCAAUGCUUGAGGGCGUUAGGGGACAUAUGAAUGCCUGCCCUAUGGGUGGGCAAUUCAAAUGGGUCUGUUGUAAAUAGGCUCUCGAGUAACAAUUAGAGGACAAGUC